GAUGUGGAGUGGGGAACGGACUCGACUGUAGCUUGGCUAGAUAGUCAGUGUCUUUUAGUUAUGUGAUGUGUCUUCGUGUCCUGGACAUUUUAAUAUCAGUUGGACGAAUCCACUGCCCAACUUGAAAGGUGUUCCUGGGUUUUCUGAUCACUGAUCACCUUUGUAACAUAACUGGUUGGGUGAGUCAAUAAAAGAUGUUUUAAAAGCUU